AUUGCCUCAGUAACGGCGAGUGAAGCGGCAACAGCUCAAAUUUGAAAUCUGGCUCUUUCAGGGUCCGAGUUGUAAUUUGUAGAGGAUGCUUCGGGUACGGCUCCGGUCUAAGUUCCUUGGAACAGGACGUCGCAGAGGGUGAGAAUCCCGUACGUGACCGGCCUCCACGCCCGUGUGAAGCUCCUUCGACGAGUCGAGUUGUUUGGGAAUGCAGCUCAAAAUGGGUGGUAAAUUUCAUCUAAAGCUAAAUAUUGGCCAGAGACCGAUAGCGCACAAGUAGAGUGAUCGAAAGAUGAAAAGCACUUUGGAAAGAGAGUCAAACAGUACGUGAAAUUGUUGAAAGGGAAGCGCUUGCAACCAGACUUGCCCGCGGGCGAUCAACCGGUAUUCUUACCGGUGCACUCGCCCGUGGUCAGGCCAGCAUCGGUUUGGGCGGCUGGACAAAGUCCCCCGGAACGUAGCUCCUUUCGGGGAGUGUUAUAGCCGGAGGUGCAAUGCAGCCCGCCUGGACCGAGGACCGCGCUUCGGCUAGGAUGCUGGCGUAAUGGUUGUAAGCGACCCGUCUUGAAACACGGACCAAGGAGUCUAACAUCUAUGCGAGUGUUUGGGUGUCAAACCCAUGCGCGUAAUGAAAGUGAACGGAGGUGGGAACCCUUUAGGGUGCACCAUCGACCGAUCCAGAUGUCUUCGGAUGGAUUUGAGUAAGAGCAUAGCUGUUGGGACCCGAAAGAUGGUGAACUAUGCCUGAAUAGGGUGAAGCCAGAGGAAACUCUGGUGGAGGCUCGCAGCGGUUCUGACGUGCAAAUCGAUCGUCAAAUUUGGGUAUAGGGGCGAAAGACUAAUCGAACCAUCUAGUAGCUGGUUCUUGCCGAAGUUUCCCUCAGGAUAGCAGUAACGUUUUCAGUUUUAUGAGGUAAAGCGAAUGAUUAGAGUCCUUGGGGCCUUAAAGGCCUUAAACUAUUCUCAAACUUUAAAUAUGUAAGAAGUCCUUGUUA
rnacentral:rRNA from 1 species